rnacentral:rRNA from 2 species
GGGGGGCGGGGUCUAUAUAGCAGUCGAGCGGACAGAUGGGAGCUUGCUCCCUGAUGUUAGCGGCGGACGGGUGAGUAACACGUGGGUAACCUGCCUGUAAGACUGGGAUAACUCCGGGAAACCGGGGCUAAUACCGGAUGGUUGUCUGAACCGCAUGGUUCAGACAUAAAAGGUGGCUUCGGCUACCACUUACAGAUGGACCCGCGGCGCAUUAGCUAGUUGGUGAGGUAACGGCUCACCAAGGCGACGAUGCGUAGCCGACCUGAGAGGGUGAUCGGCCACACUGGGACUGAGACACGGCCCAGACUCCUACGGGAGGCAGCAGUAGGGAAUCUUCCGCAAUGGACGAAAGUCUGACGGAGCAACGCCGCGUGAGUGAUGAAGGUUUUCGGAUCGUAAAGCUCUGUUGUUAGGGAAGAACAAGUGCCGUUCAAAUAGGGCGGCACCUUGACGGUACCUAACCAGAAAGCCACGGCUAACUACGUGCCAGCAGCCGCGGUAAUACGUAGGUGGCAAGCGUUGUCCGGAAUUAUUGGGCGUAAAGGGCUCGCAGGCGGUUUCUUAAGUCUGAUGUGAAAGCCCCCGGCUCAACCGGGGAGGGUCAUUGGAAACUGGGGAACUUGAGUGCAGAAGAGGAGAGUGGAAUUCCACGUGUAGCGGUGAAAUGCGUAGAGAUGUGGAGGAACACCAGUGGCGAAGGCGACUCUCUGGUCUGUAACUGACGCUGAGGAGCGAAAGCGUGGGGAGCGAACAGGAUUAGAUACCCUGGUAGUCCACGCCGUAAACGAUGAGUGCUAAGUGUUAGGGGGUUUCCGCCCCUUAGUGCUGCAGCUAACGCAUUAAGCACUCCGCCUGGGGAGUACGGUCGCAAGACUGAAACUCAAAGGAAUUGACGGGGGCCCGCACAAGCGGUGGAGCAUGUGGUUAAUUCCAAGCAACGCGAAAAACC